CCCUUAGAUGUUCUGGGCUGCACGCGCGCUACACUGAUGCGCUCAACGAGUUUUAACCUUGCCUGGAAAGGUUGGGUAAUCUUUUUAAAACGCAUCGUGAUGGGGAUAGAUUAUUGCAAUUAUUAAUCUUCAACGAGGAAUGCCUAGUAGGCGCAAGUCAUCAGCUUGCGUCGAUUACGUCCCUGCCCUUUGUACACACCGCCCGUCGCUCCUACCGAUUGGGUGUGCUGGUGAAAUGUUCGGAUCGGCCGUUUGUCGCGGUUUCCACGUCAUGUGGCUGAGAAGUUCAUUAAACCCUCCCACCUAGAGGAAGGAGAAGUCGUAACA
rnacentral:rRNA from 1 species